rnacentral:rRNA from 1 species
GAUGAACGCUAGCGGCAGGCUUAACACAUGCAAGUCGAGGGGUAGAGGAAGCUUGCUUCCUUGAGACCGGCGCACGGGUGCGUAACGCGUAUGCAACCUACCUUUUACAGAGGGAUAGCCCAGAGAAAUUUGGAUUAAUACCUCAUAGUAUAUAGUCUUCGCAUGUUGACUAUAUUAAAGUUCCAACGGUAAAAGAUGGGCAUGCGUCCUAUUAGCUAGAUGGUAAGGUAACGGCUUACCAUGGCAACGAUAGGUAGGGGUCCUGAGAGGGAGAUCCCCCACACUGGUACUGAGACACGGACCAGACUCCUACGGGAGGCAGCAGUGAGGAAUAUUGGACAAUGGGCGCAAGCCUGAUCCAGCCAUGCCGCGUGCAGGAAGACGCAUCUAUGGUGUGUAAACUGCUUUUGUACGGGAAGAAACACUCCCUCGUGAGGGAGCUUGACGGUACCGUAAGAAUAAGGAUCGGCUAACUCCGUGCCAGCCGCCGCAGUAACAC